rnacentral:tRNA from 1 species
AUCCAGGGAUGGGAAACGACCCACAAUGUUUUGCUUACCGGGCAGAUGCCAUGUACACUAGGCUACCUUGGA